GAUGAACGCUGGCGGCGCGCCUAACACAUGCAAGUCGAACGGUUAAAGCACCUUUUAGGUGUGUAUAAAGUGGCGAACGGCUGAGUAACACGUGGGCAACCUGCCCUCCUCUUGGGGAUAGCCUCGGGAAACCGAGGAUAAUACCCGAUACUUCAAUGUGGCCGCAUGACGACAUUGAGAAAGCUUUUGCGGAGAAGGAUGGGCCCGCGGCCUGUUAGCUUGUUGGUGGGGUAGAGGCCUACCAAGGCAAUGAUGGGUAGCUGGGUUGAGAGACCGACCAGCCAGAUUGGGACUGAGACACGGCCCAGACUCCUACGGGAGGCAGCAGUGGGGAAUCUUGCACAAUGGGCGAAAGCCUGAUGCAGCGACGCCGCGUGCGGGACGAAGGCCUUCGGGUUGUAAACCGCUUUCAGCAGGGACGAGGCGAUAAGUGACGGUACCUGCAGAAGAAGCCCCGGCUAACUACGUGCCAGCAGCCGCGGUAAUACGUAGGGGGCAAGCGUUAUCCGGAUUCAUUGGGCGUAAAGCGCUCGUAGGCGGUCUGUUAGGUCGGGAGUUAAAUCCGGAGGCUCAACCUCCGCCCGCUCCCGAUACCGGCAGACUUGAGUUUGGUAGGGGAAGGUGGAAUUCCUAGUGUAGCGGUGGAAUGCGCAGAUAUUAGGAAGAACACCAGUGGCGAAGGCGGCCUUCUGGGCCAUAACUGACGCUGAGGAGCGAAAGCUAGGGGAGCAAACAGG
rnacentral:rRNA from 1 species